UGGGGAAUAUUGCACAAUGGGCGCAAGCCUGAUGCAGCCAUGCCGCGUGUGUGAAGAAGGCCUUCGGGUUGUAAAGCACUUUCAGCGAGGAGGAAGGUGGUGAACUUAAUACGUUCAUCAAUUGACGUUACUCGCAGAAGAAGCACCGGCUAACUCCGUGCCAGCAGCCGCGGUAAUACGGAGGGUGCAAGCGUUAAUCGGAAUUACUGGGCGUAAAGCGCACGCAGGCGGUUUGUUAAGUCAGAUGUGAAAUCCCCGGGCUCAACCUGGGAACUGCAUUUGAAACUGGCAAGCUAGAGUCUCGUAGAGGGGGUAGAAUUCCAGGUGUAGCGGUGAAAUGCGUAGAGAUCUGGAGGAAUACCGGUGGCGAAGGCGGCCCCCUGGACGAAGACUGACGCUCAGGUGCGAAAAGCGUGGGGAGCAAACAGGAUUAGAUACCCCUGGUAGUCCACGCUGUAAACGAUGUCGAUUUUGGAGGUUGUGCCCUUGAGGCGUGGCUUCCGGAGCUAACGCGUUAAAUCGACCGCCUGGGGAGUACGGCCGCAAGGUUAAAACUCAAAGGAAUUGACGGGGUCAUAGCUGUUUCCU
rnacentral:rRNA from 1 species